AUAUUUCUGCGUUAACUUCCUUUCUCCUGUCCGCUAUCUAGUUGCACAUGUCUACAGAUUUACACAGAUUUACGAAUUCAAGAUGAGUCCUGAGAUGAAAAAGAGGGUAUCUACAGUUUUAGAUCUUGCAAGGGUGACGUUUCAGUAUGGCUUCCUCCCAACUGUGAUUUACUUAGGUUUCAAAAAGGGUGCCGAUGAAGGCAUGCCAGAACUGUCCUGGCAGAAUCUUUUAUGGAUGUGAUGAAGU